GGCUUAACACAUGCAAGUCGAGCGCCCCGCAAGGGGAGCGGCAGACGGGUGAGUAACACGUGGGAACGUGCCUUUUGGUUCGGAACAACCCAGGGAAACUUGGGCUAAUACCGGAUAAGCCCUAACGGGGAAAGAUUUAUCGCCAAAAGAUCGGCCCGCGUCUGAUUAGCUAGCUGGUGGGGUAAUGGCCCACCAAGGCUACGAUCAGUACCUGGUCUGAGAGGAUGAUCAGCCACAUUGGGACUGAGACACGGCCCAAACUCCUACGGGAGGCAGCAGUGGGGAAUAUUGGUCAAUGGGGGCAACCCUGAUCCAGCCAUGCCGCGUGACUGCUAAGCCUUAGGGUUGUAAAGCUC
rnacentral:rRNA from 1 species